UACGAAGGGGGCUAGCGUUGCUCGGAAUCACUGGGCGUAAAGCGCACGUAGGCGGCUUCUUAAGUCAGGGGGUGAAAUCCUGGAGCUCAACUCCAGAACUGCCUUUGAUACUGAAGAUCUUGAGUUCGGGAGAGGUGAGUGGAACUGCGAGUGUAGAGGUGAAAUUCGUAGAUAUUCGCAAGAACACCAGUGGCGAAGGCGGCUCACUGGCCCGGUACUGACGCUGAGGUGCGAAAGCGUGGGGAGCAAAGCAGGG
rnacentral:rRNA from 1 species